UCCAACAAUUGCAUAUAUAAGAAGCAAUGGCGAUUGAUUCCUACAGUGGGCAGCAGGUCAGUGGUGUGCUCGUGGUGGAGCUGUCAAGUGCCAGAAGCCUUCAGAGCCGUACGACUGUACUUGUGAGUCUGACUUCGAUAUCGUUGAGCCCGCACCACCAGCAUGCCCGGCCACGUUAAGAAGAGCACGGGUCCAGACCCCGACCCCACUGAAUACCUCUUCAUCUCUCGGGAGCAGAAGAUGAAGGAUCAGACGAAACCCUACGAUCCUAAGAAGUCUUAUUGGUGUCCUGACCCCAAUGAGGGCUUCGUCGAGUGUGAGUUUCAGGCUCCUAAGGGUGAUAAACUUGUCACAGUAAAGCUUCCCAGCGGCGAGACGAAGGACUUCAAGAAGGAGCAGGUCGGACAGGUCAACCCUCCCAAGUACGAGAAGUGUGAGGAUGUGUCCAACCUGACCUUCCUCAACGAUCCCUCCGUCUUCUACGUCCUCAAGUCCCGUUACCAGGCCAAGCUUAUCUACACCUACUCUGGUCUCUUCUGUAUCGCCGUCAACCCCUACAAGCGUUACCCCAUCUACACCAACCGUGCCGUCAAGAUCUAUAUCGGCAAGAGGCGUAAUGAGGUGCCCCCUCAUCUCUUCGCCAUUUGCGACGGUGCCUACCAGAACAUGAAUCAAGAACGCCAGAACCAGUCUAUGCUUAUUACCGGCGAAUCUGGCGCCGGCAAGACUGAGAACACAAAGAAGGUGUUGUCUUACUUCGCCAACGUCGGUGCCUCUGAGAAGAAAGAGGGCGAGAGCAAACAGAAUCUUGAGGACCAGAUUAUCCAAACCAACCCCAUCCUUGAAGCUUACGGCAAUGCCAAGACCACCCGUAACGACAACUCCUCUCGUUUCGGUAAGUUCAUCCGCGUCCACUUCGCUCCCAACGGCAAGCUCUCUGGCGCUGAUAUCGAGGUCUACCUGCUGGAGAAGGCUCGUGUCAUCUCCCAGUCCCCCGCCGAGCGAGGCUACCAUAUCUUCUACCAGCUCAUGUGCGACCAGAUUGAUUAUAUGAAGAAAAUUUGCUGUUUGUCUGACGACAUCUACGACUACCACUACGAGGCGCAGGGUAAGGUUACCGUCCCAUCCAUCGACGACAAGGAAGACAUGCAAUUUACUCACGACGCUUUCGACAUCCUGAACUUCUCACACGAGGAAAGAGACGAUUGCUACAAGGUUACAGCUUCUGUCAUGCACCAUGGUAACAUGAAGUUCAAGCAGAGGGGUCGCGAGGAGCAGGCUGAGGCCGAUGGCACUGAGGCCGGAGAAAUUGUUGCUAAACUGCUCGGUGUUGACGCCGAGGAGCUCUACAGGAACUUCUGCAAGCCCAAGAUCAAGGUCGGUGCCGAGUUCGUCACCAAGGGUAUGAAUGUCGACCAAGUCAACUACAACGUUGGUGCCAUGGCCAAGGGUCUCUUCUCGCGUGUGUUCUCAUGGCUCGUCAGGAAGUGUAACAUGACACUCGAGACUGGCCAGACUCGCGCCAUGUUCAUCGGUGUGCUCGAUAUUGCCGGCUUUGAGAUCUUCGACUUCAACGGUUUCGAGCAGAUCUGUAUCAACUUCUGUAACGAGAAGCUGCAGCAGUUCUUCAACCACCACAUGUUCGUACUGGAACAAGAAGAAUACGCAAAGGAAGGCAUUGUGUGGCAGUUCGUCGACUUCGGUAUGGAUCUGCAGGCUUGCAUUGAACUCUUCGAGAAGAAAAUGGGUCUCCUCUCCAUCCUUGAGGAAGAGUCCAUGUUCCCCAAGGCCACUGACAAGACCUUCGAGGAGAAGCUGAACAACAACCAUCUCGGAAAGUCUCGUUGCUUCAUCAAGCCCAAGCCUCCAAAGCCCGGCCAGCCUGACAACCACUUUGCCAUUGUUCACUACGCUGGCACUGUGUCCUACAACCUGACUGGCUGGCUUGAGAAGAACAAGGAUCCUCUCAACGACACCGUCGUCGACCAGCUCAAGAAGGCCUCCAACGCCCUCACAGUCGAGAUCUUCGCUGACCAUCCUGGUCAAUCCGGUGAUGGAGGUGGCAAAGGAAAGGGAGGCAAGCAGCAGACUGGUUUCAAAACCGUGUCUUCUGGGUACAAGGAUCAGCUUGCCAACCUCAUGAAGACUCUCAACGCUACUCAUCCUCACUUCAUCCGUUGCAUUGUGCCCAACGAGUUCAAGAAGCCCGGCGAAGUAGACUCUGGCCUCAUCAUGCAUCAGCUGACCUGUAACGGUGUACUUGAGGGCAUCCGUAUUUGCCAGAAGGGCUUCCCCAACAGGAUGCCUUACCCUGACUUCAAACAGCGAUACAACAUCCUUGCCGCUAAGGAGAUGCUUGAAGCGAAGGACGACAAGAAGGCAGCAACAGCUUGCUUCGAGAGGGCCGGCCUCGACCCUGAGUUGUACCGUACCGGCAAUACUAAGGUAUUCUUCCGUGCCGGUGUCUUGGGUACCCUUGAAGAGAUUCGUGAUGACCGUAUUAUGAAGCUGGUAUCCUGGCUUCAAGCAUGGAUUCGUGGCUGGGCCAGCCGCAAAUACUAUUCCAAGAUGCAGAAGCAACGCACUGCUCUCAUCGUCAUGCAACGCAACAUCAGAAAAUUCAAGAUCAUGCGAUCCUGGCUCUGGUAUGAGCUCUGGAUCAAGCUGAAGCCCAGGCUCAAGGCCACUCGUGGUGAAGAGGAGCUGGAGAAACUGGAAGCUACUGCUGUUAAGGCUGAAGAAGAGUUUGAGAAGGUACUUAAGGUUCGCGAAGAACUUGAAGCCCAGAAUGCACUUCUUUUGGCAGAGAAAAAUGAACUUUUGGCAGCUGUCGAAUCAUCUAAAGGUGGCAUGUCGGAAUACUUGGAUAAGCAAGCUAAACUUCUGGCCCAAAAGGCCGAGCUCGAAGGACAGCUUAAUGAAACUUUGGAACGCUGAGAAGGAGGAAGACGCACGCAACCAGAUUUCUAAUGGCAAGAAGAAAUGUGAACAAGAAGUUGCCAACCUGAAGAAGGAGCUUGAGGAACUCGAACUCUCCGUCCAGCAGGGUGAGCAGGAUAAACAAACCAAGGAUCAGCAGCUUACAAACUUGAACGAGGAGAUCUCUCAUCAGGAAGAACUCAUUUCUAAAGUUAACAAGGAAAAGAAACACCUUCAGGAAUGCAACCAGAAGACUGCUGAAGACCUUCAGGGCAUUGAAGACAAAUGCAACAAUCUCAACAAGGUUAAGACAAAGUUAGAAUCUAGCCUUGAUGAACUUGAAGAUACUCUGGAGCGUGAGAAGAAGCUUCGUGCUGAGGUUGAGAAGUCAAAGAGGAAGGUUGAGGGUGACCUUAGGCUGACUCAGGAAGCUGUUUCUGAUCUGGAACGCAAUCUCAAGGAACUUGAAGUUGCGGCUGAGCGCAAGGAAAAGGAAAUUGCUGCCAUGACUGCCAAGAUCGAUGAUGAACAGGCUCUUGUGUACAGGGACCAGAGGCAGAUUAAGGAACUGCAAGCUCGUCUUGAGGAGCUCGAGGAGGAAGUUGAGCAUGAGCGUCAGGCCCGUAGCAAGGCCGAGAAAGCCAAGAAUCUUCUGUCUCGUGAACUGACAGAGCUUGGAGAGCGACUGGAUGAGGCUGGUGGCGCAACCGCGGCUCAGAUCGAAAUCAAUAAGAAGCGUGAAGGUGAACUGGCUAAGGUCCGCCGCGACAUUGAGGAGUCCAACCUUCAGCAUGAGGCUGCUCUUGCUACUCUCCGCAAGAAGCACAACGACGCCGUUGCCGAGAUGUCUGAGCAAGUCGAUUACCUCAAUAAGAUGAAGGCCAGAACUGAAAAGGACAAAGAAGCCAUGAAGCGAGAUGCCGAUGAUGCUAAGGCUUCCAUGGAUUCACUUGCUCGUGACAAGACUACCGCUGAGAAGACCACCAAGCAGCUUCAGCAUCAGUACGGCGAGAUCUGCGCCAAGUUAGACGAGGUCAACCGCACCCUGAGUGACUUCGAUGCCACCAAGAAGAAGCUUGCCUGCGAGAAUGCAGACCUUGUCCGCCAGCUGGAAGAGGCCGAAAACCAGGUCAGCCAGCUGUCAAGGGUCAAGCUCUCUCUCACCAACCAGCUCGACGACACCAGGAAGAUGUGCGAUGAAGAGAGCAGGGGCCGUGCCACUCUCCUGGGCAAGUUCCGCAACCUGGAGCACGAUAUUCAAGCCCUCCGUGAUCAACUGGAUGAGGAGAGCGAUGCCAAGGGAGAUGUUCUCCGAAUGCUCUCCAAGGCUAACGCUGAGGCUCUCAUGUGGCGCUCCAAGUACGAGUCUGAGGGUGUUGCCCGUGCAGAGGAACUCGAGGCUGCUCGUAUGAAGCUCGCCGCUCGUCUUGAGGAGGCCGAAAUGCAAAUCGAGUCUCUCAAUGUUAGGAACCUGCAUCUCGAAAAGACUAAAAUGCGUGCUGCUGCUGAGCUGGACGAUCUCCAUGCUUCUGCUGAGCGUGCACAGGCCCUGGCUAGUGCUGCUGAAAAGAAGCAGAAGAACUUCGACAAGAUCAUUUCCGAAUGGAAACUGAAGGUUGAUGACUUGGCCGCUGAGGUAGAUGCCUCGCAGAAGGAAUGCCGCAACUACUCCACCGAGCACUUCCGCCUGAAGGCCGCCAAUGAUGAGAACAUUGAACAGCUUGACAGCAUUCGCCGAGAGAACAAGAACCUGAGCGACGAGAUCAGGGAUCUGAUGGACCAGCUUGGUGAGGGUGGCCGAGCAUACCAUGAAGUUCAGAAGAAUGCCAGACGUCUUGAGCUCGAGAAGGAAGAACUCCAGGCUGCUCUUGAGGAGGCCGAGGCCGCUCUCGAACAAGAGGAGAACAAGGUCCUCCGCACUCAACUUGAACUCAGCCAGAUCAGACAAGAGAUUGACAGGCGUCUUCAGGAGAAGGAGGAAGAGUUCGACAACACACGCAAGUGUCACCAGAGGGCCAUCGACUCCAUGCAAGCUUCUCUUGAGGUUGAAGCCAAGGGUAAGGCCGAGGCUCUUCGCAUAAAGAAGAAGCUCGAGUCCGACAUCAACGAGCUCGAGAUCGCCCUUGACCACGCCAAUAAGGCCAACUCUGACCUUCACAAACAUCUGAGGAAGGUUCACGAUGAAAUCAAGGAUGCGGAAACCCGUGUUAAGGAAGAGCAACGCCAUGCCUCCGAGUUCCGUGAACAGUAUGGCAUUGCUGAACGCCGCUUCAACGCCCUUCACGGAGAGCUGGAAGAAUCCCGCACUCUCCUGGAACAGUCUGACCGCGGCCGUCGCCACGCUGAGACUGAGCUCAAUGAUGCACGCGAACAGAUCAACAACUUCACCAACCAGAACACUGCUCUCACUGCCUCAAAGAGGAAGCUUGAAGGUGAAAUGUCAACCCUCCAGGCUGACCUUGAGGAGAUGCUCAACGAGGCAAGGAACUCUGAGGAGAAGGCGAAGAAGGCAAUGCUUGACGCUGCCCGCCUGGCCGACGAACUCCGCUCUGAGCAGGAACACGCUCAGGCCCAAGAGAAGAUGCGUAAGGCCUUGGAAAUUACCGUCAAGGAUCUCCAGACCCGUCUUGAUGAGAGUGAGAGUGCUGCCAUGAAGGCUGGCAAGAAGGCCGUCAGCAACAUGGAAGCUCGCAUUCGUGAUCUCGAGUCUGCGCUGGAUGAAGAGGUCCGUCGUCACGCCGAUUCGCAGAAGAACCUGAGGAAGUGCGAGAGGCGCAUCAAGGAGCUCGCCUUCCAGACUGAAGAGGACAAGAAGAACCACGACAGGAUGCAGGACCUCGUCGAUAAGCUCCAGCAGAAGAUCAAGACCUACAAGCGACAGAUCGAGGAGGCUGAGGAGAUCGCCGCCCUCAACUUGGCCAAGUUCCGCAAGACUCAGCAGGAGCUUGAAGAAUCUGAGGGAGUAACUAUCAUCCACUAUUAAACGCAGUGUUAUCUAAAACGACGAUGUAACUUGGGUAACUGCUGCAAUAAAAAUGUAAUUUAAA